rnacentral:rRNA from 1 species
UACGUAGGGGGCAAGCGUUGUCCGGAUUUACUGGGCGUAAAGAGCGUGUAGGCGGCCACGCAGGUCCGUUGUGAAAACUGGAGGCUCAACCUCCAGCUGUCGACGGAAACCGUAUGGCUAGAGUCCGGAAGAGGCGAGGGGAAUUCCUGGUGUAGCGGUGAAAUGCGCAGAUAUCAGGAGGAACACCUAUGGCGAAGGCAGCUCGCUGGGACGGUACUGACGCUGAGACGCGAAAGCGUGGGGAGCGAACAGG